rfam:Callipepla squamata strain Texas jcf7180005231634, whole genome shotgun sequence.
GCCGAAGUAGCUCACUGGGGAGAGUGUUAGACUAAAAAUCUAAAGGUCCUCUGGUUGAAUCCUGGGCUUCAGCA